UUUGUUUAUUAGUUAAUGUUUCUCCCUGGUCUCGGGACACACUGAGGCUUACAACUCAGCCCUCGGCCUGCUUUACUUGAGGAAAAAAGGUUGAACUUGUCACAUAGUUUUCAGUGCCUAGUGCUGAGUCUAUUAGUGUGGUUCUGCAGGUUUCUGGAAAAUAAUCUCAGACGUUGCAUUUGAAAAUGAAAAAUAUGGACAGUUCACCAUGUUUCUUAACCUUUCAUAAAUUAAAAGUGGAAAUAUUUAAUUAAUUUUAAUGUUAAAGUCUGCUAGCUUUUAACUUUUCCCACGGCUCCCUCUUACAAUAUUCAAUUAUGAUACCCAGAUAUUUGUGGCAGAAGUAACAAAACCUGUCUGAGAUAAACUUCCCUUUUCAGGGGAGGGAGGGAAUGUCAAUAACCUGUUUGGCCACUGGGUGGCAUUUUAUCCACUUGCAAAUCAAGUACACUACUGUAUGUGCAAUUACUAUCAAGGGCCUAUCCUGACAAUUAGGAUUUUUAUGUUUAUUUGGUUAUUGUGCAUAGUCAGUUAGCCUCACAAUAGCAUGGUCAUGGUCAUAGAACACAAUAAUCCAGAAAGCCAUGGGAACCCUGGUAAUAAGCAGAGUGCUGGUGAAUAAUGCCUGGUCACUCUUGCUUACAGUAAGAUUAACUGAACAAAUAUGGGGCUUCUUGCUUCUCAAUCCGAGAAUUAAAAAGUGUCCUUCUUUGGCUGAGCAAAUCCUGGAGUACAUAUCUGUUAGAAGAUGCUGGUGGACUACAAUGAAGCUCUGCUAGAAAAACAGAAUGUGUCUUUAUUUAUCCAACGGGACAACUGUCACAAAUAAUGACAUUAAGAGUCUGAUCCCAUUCAAUUCCUGUCUGGAGGUCUGAACAGUGCCCUUGCUCCAAGC
ensembl:lncRNA